rnacentral:rRNA from 1 species
GUCGAGAAUCUUUCGCAAUGCCCGAAAGGGUGACGAAGCGACGCCGCGUGUGGGAAGAAGGCCUUCGGGUUGUAAACCACUGUCGGGAGUUAAGAAAUGCAAGAAUGUUAAUAGCGUUUUUGCUUGACUAAGGCUCCGGAGGAAGCCACGGCUAACUCUGUGCCAGCAGCCGCGGUAAUACAGAGGCGGCAAGCGUUGUUCGGAAUUAUUGGGCGUAAAGAGCACGUAGGCGGCUAUAUAAGUCGGUUGUGAAAGCCUUCCGCUCAACGGGAGAACAGCAUCCGAUACUGUAUGGCUUGAGUGUGGGAGGGGAGAGCGGAACUUCUGGUGGAGCGGUGAAAUGCGUAGAUAUCAGAAGGAACGCCGGCGGCGAAAGCGGCUCUCUGGCCCAUAACUGACGCUGAGUGUGCGAAAGCUAGGGGAGCAAACGGGAUUAGAAACCCUAGUAGUCC